rnacentral:rRNA from 1 species
UACGUAGGGGGCUAGCGUUGUCCGGAAUCAUUGGGCGUAAAGCGCGUGUAGGCGGUUCGGUAAGUCCGCUGUGAAAGUCGGGGGCUCAACCCUCGGAAGCCGGUGGAUACUGUCGAGCUAGAGUACGGAAGAGGCGAGUGGAAUUCCUGGUGUAGCGGUGAAAUGCGCAGAUAUCAGGAGGAACACCAAUUGCGAAGGCAGCUCGCUGGGACGUUACUGACGCUGAGACGCGAAAAGCGUGGGGGAGCAAACAGG